rnacentral:rRNA from 1 species
GUGGUCAUGGAAGUCGAAAUCCGCUAAGGAGUGUGUAACAACUCACCUGCCGAAUGGAUUAGCCCUGAAAAUGGAUGGCGCUUCAGCGAUCUACUUAUACUGUGCCAUCUUGAUUCGUAUAAAUCAGGAUGAGUAGGAGGGCGUGGAGGUUAUGUGUUGAAGCGUUUGGUGUGAACCUGCGUGGAACGGCCUCUAGUGCAGAUCUUGGUGGUAGUAGCAAAUAUUCAAA